UACAGAGGUCUCAAGCGUUGUUCGGAUUCAUUGGGCGUAAAGGGUGCGUAGGCGGCGCGGUAAGUCGGGUGUGAAAUUUCGAGGCUUAACUUCGAAACUGCAUUCGAUACUGCCGUGCUUGAGGACUGGAGAGGAGACUGGAAUUUACGGUGUAGCGGUGAAAUGCGUAGAUAUCGUAAGGAAGACCAGUGGCGAAGGCGGGUCUCUGGGACGGUACUGACGCUGGAGACGCGAAAGCGUGGGGAGCGAACAGG
rnacentral:rRNA from 1 species